CAACUUUUUACAGGAAAUAUGUGGUUCAAUGAGCAAGUCUACCUCAAAAUCAACACUCAAGAAAAGAUUAGGUAGCUAUUGUGUUAAUCUUGAAUGUUGCAACCAGUUUUAUAUCCCCUUAUUCCAAUUUAAUGAAUGGGUCAUCAUGGUAAUCAAUUUGGAGGCUAAAAGGGUGGAUCUACUUUCAUCAUAUAAUAGCAUUCAACGUGUUCACUUUGUUAAUGAAGCUUUCAAAGUAGUUGGAUUUAUGUCGCAGUUAUUAAAAAAUUCCUUCAAACGGAAUGAUGUGAAUAUAAAUAAUUUACAUCCACAGUAUGCAGAUAUCGAUGGCGAUCCAAAAUUAUGUCAUACUGGGAUGUAUGCUAUUCUCUAUAUGCAACAUUGGGAUGGAAGUGGUCUUAAUAGAACCAUUAAUUUUG